CACAAGCGGUGGAGUAUGUGGUUUAAUUCGAUGCAACGCGAAGAACCUUACUUGGUCUUGACAUCCCGGAGACCCUUAGGAAACUAGGGGGUGCUUCCAUCUGGAAGAAUCUGGAGACAGGUGCUGCAUGGCUGUCGUCAGCUCGUGUCGUGAGAUGUUGGGUUAAGUCCCGCAACGAGCGCAACCCUUGCCUUUAGUUGCCAGCAGUUCGGCUGGGCACUCUAAAGGGACUGCCGGUGUUAAACCGGAGGAAGGUGGGGAUGACGUCAAGUCCUCAUGGCCUUUAUGACCAGGGCUACACACGUACUACAAUGGCCGAUACAAAGGGCAGCGACACUGCGAGGUGAAGCCAAUCCCGUAAAAUCGGUCUCAGUCCGGAUUGGAGUCUGCAACUCGACUCCAUGAAGUUGGAAUCGCUAGUAAUCGUGGAUCAGCAUGCCACGGUGAAUACGUUCCCGGGCCUU
rnacentral:rRNA from 1 species